rnacentral:rRNA from 1 species
UUCCUACGGGGCGCAGCAGUGAGGAAUAUUGGUCAAUGGGAGGAAUCCUGAACCAGCCAUGCCGCGUGCAGGACGACGGCUCUACGAGUUGUAAACUGCUUUUGUACCGGGGUAAAAUGCCUUACGAGUAGGGUUUUGAAAGUACGGUACGAAUAAGCAUCGGCUAACUCCGUGCCAGCAGCCGCGGUAAUACGGAGGAUGCGAGCGUUAUCCGGAUUUAUUGGGUUUAAAGGGUGCGUAGGCGGUUUGUCAAGUCAGCGGUAAAAAUUCCGGGCUCAACCCGGUCCCGCCGUUGAAACUGGCGA